rnacentral:rRNA from 1 species
CUGGACCUCGGAUCAGGCCAGGCUACCCGCUGAAUUUAAGCAUAUCAAUAAGCGGAGGAAAAGAAACUAACUAGUAUUCCCCUAGUAACGGCGAGCGAAGCGGGAACAGCUCAAAUUUGAAAUCUCCGGUGCCUGCACCGGCGAAUUGUAGUCUAUAGGGCCAGUUUCGCCAGACGCGGUGUCCCCAAAGUCGUCCUGGAAAGGCGGGCCAGAGAGGGUGAGAGCCCCGUGUGCGGGGGCACUGCGGAAGGCAAGAUCUGUGCCCAAAGAGUCGGGUUGUUUGGGAUUGCAGCCCAAAAUGGGUGGUAAACUCCAUCUAAAGCUAAAUACUGGCACGAGACCGAUAGCGAACAAGUACCG